GCUUCAUGAUUCCGUAAACACAUCGUCAUUAAUGUCUGUAAAACGUACAGUGUCAUCGUAUUCAUUGAAGAAGACGCCUUACGAAAAUUUCGAUAAAAUUGUGCAAAGCAUUUUCAUCAAAAGUGAAUCAUGAGCGCCGACGACGACGUUGAUAACGUUGAUCAGCAAGAAUUAGACAUUGUUUUAUGUACUGAAGAAGUUGCGACCGAUUGUUGAAAUUCAUAUUCCAUUGGAAUCCUACAGUGGCAGUACGGCUCUACGAACGAACGAUUUGUCUCUGAAUCUAGACAGUAAAUAUCAAUAUGCUGCCCUGUUGAAGUGCUAGAAAUCCUACGGAGGUUUUUUGGAAACUGAAAUUUAUACAUAAUUAAAGAGAGCUAUAAAAAGUUAUUCAAA